UUUAUUUCUCUAGUUUUGUGUUAUUUCCAUUGAAAUCUUUAUAACCACAUAAAAAAAAAGAUUAGUAUUUUGAUAUUUUAAAAACCAUACAAAGUUAUUUAUUAUCUCUUGCCUCUAAGCUUAAUUUCUGCCAACCGUAUGGCUUCUGUUCAUCCACCCAACUCAAGAAUCCAUGAACACCACAUCUGUUGAAUCUUCUUCCCGGAUUGUCAUUGGUCCAUGACUUUGCGACAAUCGAAACUCUACCACAACUGCUGCAAAGAGGACCCCAGCUAUGGCUUGAAUUCGCAUCAAAAGACCCUGAAGUUUGGCUCACCAUUCUCUGUUUCACUAUGAAUUUUGAAUUUUUUUUGAUUUAGGGUUCUUAGAAACCCAAAUCGAGUAGAUAAAAGACAAAGGGUAACAGUGUCUUAUGUUUAGACUAAUUAACCACGUGAAGUAAACUUCUAACUGCG
rnacentral:lncRNA from 1 species